GGUUAAGCUACUAAGAGCACACGGAGGAUGCCUAGGCGCUAGGAGCCGAAGAAGGACGUGGCGAACAACGAUAAGGCCUCGGGGAGCUGUAAGCAAGCUUUGAUCCGGGGAUGUCCGAAUGGGGAAACCCGGCUGGUGUAAUAGCCAGUCACUCAUUACUGAAUACAUAGGUAAUGAAGAGGCAGACCAGGGGAACUGAAACAUCUAAGUACCUUGAGGAAGAGAAAACAAGUAGUGAUUCCGUCAGUAGCGGCGAGCGAACGCGGAAGAGCCUAAACCAAGAGGCUUGCCUCUUGGGGUUGUGGGACGUCUCACAUGGAGUUACAAAGGAAUAGGGUAGGCGAAGAGGUCUGGAAAGACCCGCUAGAAGAGGUAAAAGCCCUGUAACCGAAAGUCUAUUCCCUCCGAGACGGAUCCCGAGUAGUGCGGGGCACGUGAAACCCCGUAUGAAUCUGCCAGGACCAUCUGGUAAGGCUAAAUACUCCCUAGUGACCGAUAGUGAAGCAGUACCGUGAGGGAAAGGUGAAAAGCACCCCGGAAGGGGAGUGAAAGAGAACCUGAAACCGUGUGCUUACAAGAAGUCAGAGCCUAAUUAAUGGGUGAUGGCGUGCCUUUUGUAGAAUGAACCGGCGAGUUACGUUCCCGUGCAAGGUUAAGGUGAGAAGCCGUAGCCGUAGCGAAAGCGAGUCUGAAUAGGGCGAUUAUAGUACGUGGGCGUAGACCCGAAACCGUGUGAUCUACCCCUGUCCAGGGUGAAGGUGCGGUAACACGCACUGGAGGCCCGAACCCACGAACGUUGAAAAGUUCGGGGAUGAGGUGGGGGUAGCGGAGAAAUUCCAAUCGAACUCGGAGAUAGCUGGUUCUCCCCGAAAUAGCUUUAGGGCUAGCCUCGGUGGUACAGUCGUGGAGGUAGAGCACUGAUUGGGUGCGGGGCCCGCAAGGGUUACCAAGCUCAGUCAAACUCCGAAUGCCAUAGACUGAUUAACCGGGAGUCAGACAGUGAGUGCUAAGAUCCAUUGUCAAAAGGGAAACAGCCCAGACCAUCAGCUAAGGUCCCCAAGUGUGUGUUAAGUGGGAAAGGAUGUGGAGUUGCACAGACAACCAGGAUGUUGGCUUAGAAGCAGCCACCAUUUAAAGAGUGCGUAAUAGCUCACUGGUCGAGUGACUCUGCGCCGAAAAUGUAACGGGGCUAAACACACCACCGAAGCUAUGGCUUGAUGCUUGCAUCAGGGGUAGGGGAGCGUUGUGUAUGCGUUGAAGGUGUACCGUAAGGAGCGCUGGAGAGUACACAAGUGAGAAUGCCGGUAUGAGUAACGAAAAGAUCAGUGAGAAUCUGAUCCGCCGAAAGCCUAAGGGUUCCUGAGGAAGGUUCGUCCGCUCAGGGUAAGUCGGGACCUAAGGCGAGGCCGACAGGCGUAGUCGAAGGACAACAGGUGGAAAUUCCUGUACCACCGUAAACCGUUAUGAGCGAUGGGGUGACGCAGCAGGGUAGUGACGCGGACUGAUGGAUGUCCGUCCAAGCAGUGAGAGGGUAGCAUAGGCAAAUCCGUGCUACAUAACCUUGGGCUGUGAUGGGGAGCGAAAAUUGCAGUAGCGAAGGUCAUGAUCUCACACUGCCAAGAAAAGCCUCUAGCCAGGUGAAGGUGCCCGUACCGCAAACCGACACAGGUAGGCGAGAAGAGAAUUCUAAGGCGCGCGGAAGAACUCUCGUUAAGGAACUCGGCAAAAUGACCCCGUAACUUCGGGAGAAGGGGUGCCUCGGUAGGGUGAAUAGCCCGAGGGGGCCGCAGUGAAAAGGCCCAAGCGACUGUUUAGCAAAAACACAGGUCUGUGCGAAGCCGUAAGGCGAAGUAUACGGGCUGACGCCUGCCCGGUGCUGGAAGGUUAAGGGGAGUGGUUAGGGGUUAAACCCGAAGCUAUGAACUGAAGCCCCAGUAAACGGCGGCCGUAACUAUAACGGUCCUAAGGUAGCGAAAUUCCUUGUCAGGUAAAUUCUGACCCGCACGAAUGGCGUAACGACUUGGGCGCUGUCUCAACGAGAGAUCCGGUGAAAUUUUAAUACCUGUGAAGAUGCAGGUUACCCGCGACAAGACGGAAAGACCCCAUGGAGCUUUACUGCAGCUUGAUAUUGGACUUUGAUACGAUUUGUACAGGAUAGGUGGGAGCCUAGGAAGAGGGAGCGCAAGCUUCCUUGGAGGCGCCGUUGGGAUACCACCCUGAUCGUAUCGGAGUUCUAACCUGGUACCGUGAACCGGUAUGGGGACAGUGUCAGGUGGGCAGUUUGACUGGGGCGGUCGCCUCCUAAAGAGUAACGGAGGCGCCCCAAGGUUCCCUCAGAAUGGUUGGAAAUCAUUCGAAGAGUGCAAAGGCAAAAGGGAGCUUGACUGCGAGACUGACAAGUCGAGCAGGGACGAAAGUCGGGCUUAGUGAUCCGGUGGUACCGCAUGGAAGGGCCAUCGCUCAACGGAUAAAAGCUACCCUGGGGAUAACAGGCUUAUCUCCCCCAAGAGUCCACAUCGACGGGGAGGUUUGGCACCUCGAUGUCGGCUCAUCGCAUCCUGGGGCUGAAGUAGGUCCCAAGGGUUGGGCUGUUCGCCCAUUAAAGCGGUACGCGAGCUGGGUUCAGAACGUCGUGAGACAGUUCGGUCCCUAUCUGUCGUGGGCGUAGGAAAUUUGAGAGGAGCUGUCCUUAGUACGAGAGGACCGGGAUGGACGCACCGCUGGUGCACCAGUUGUUCCGCCAGGAGCACAGCUGGGUAGCUAAGUGCGGAAGGGAUAAGCGCUGAAAGCAUCUAAGCGUGAAGCCUCCCUCAAGAUGAGAUUUCCCAAUUAGUAAGACCCCUUGAAGACGACGAGGUAGAUAGGCUGGGGGUGGAAGUGCAGCAAUGCAUGGAGCUGACCAGUACUAAUCGGUCGAGGGCUUAUCCAA
rnacentral:rRNA from 1 species